rnacentral:misc_RNA from 1 species
GUGAAUCAUCGAAUCUUUGAACGCAAAUUGCACUCUCUGGUAUUCCGGAGAGUAUGCCUGUUUGAGGGUCAGUUUAAAUAAAAUUCGGGGUGGUUGCUGCCUUUCGUGGUGACGCACCGGAUGUGGGUCGUCUUGCCUUCGGUUAAGUGACCUAAAAUUUUGUAUGUUUUUUUCGAACGUAUUUAAAUGACUUUACGUACGUUUGCGAUAUCGAAUACUGGUUUUUGUCAUGCUCAUGAUUCGCGCCUAAAAUUUUUU